rnacentral:antisense_RNA from 3 species
CUUCAGGGUGCCGAGCCAGAGCGGCCGGCCGUCGUGCCGUUCCUGGCCGUAGGUGGCGAGCAGGGCCUCGGCCUC